rnacentral:misc_RNA from 1 species
GAAAUGCGAUAAGUAGUGUGAAUUGCAGAAUUCAGUGAAUCAUCGAAUCUUUGAACGCACAUUGCGCCCCUUGGUAUUCCAUGGGGCAUGCCUGUUCGAGCGUCAUUUGUACCCUCAAGCUCUGCUUGGUGUUGGGUGUUUGUCCCGUCUCCGCGCGUGGACUCGCCCCAAAGUGAUUGGCAGCCGGCGUACUGGUCCCGGAGCGCAGCACAUGUCGCGCAAACGAGUGCCUUGGUACGGCGGCGUCCGUAAGCCCCUCUCUCACGCUCUUGACCUCGGAUCAGGUAGGGAUACCCGCUGAACUUAAGC